rnacentral:rRNA from 1 species
GACGAACGCUGGCGGCGUGCUUAACACAUGCAAGUCGAACGGAAAGGCCCUGCUUGCAGGGUACUCGAGUGGCGAACGGGCGAGUAACACGUGGGUGAUCUGCCCUGCACUUCGGGAUAAGCCUGGGAAACUGGGUCUAAUACCGGAUAGGAGCUACUUUUAGCGUGAUGGUUGGAAAGUUUUUUCGGUGUAGGACGAGCUCGCGGCCUAUCAGCUUGUUGGUGGGGUAAUGGCCUACCAACGCGGCGACGGGUAGCCGGCCUGAGAGGGUGGACGGCCACAUUGGGACUGAGAUACGGCCCAGACGCCUACGGUAGGCAGCAGUGGGGAAUAUUGCACAAUGGGCGCAAGCCUGAUGCAGCGACGCCGCGUGGGGGAUGACGGCCUUCGGGUUGUAAACUCCUUUCGCUAGGGACGAAGCUUUUUGUGACGGUACCUAGAGAAGAAGCACCGGCUAACUACGUG